ACGCAUUGAUUUAACCGACCCGAAAGACGUUCAACAGGUUUUGGCAUGUUUGUUUGCAAACGCUGCGACAGCAUCAACCAUGAUUUUAAACUUGUGAUCCCAAUUGGUAGGCUGAUGCUCAAGAUAUGUUCAUCCAUAUUCGAAUAAUUGACGAAGCUUGUUAUUGUCAGCAAUAGAGAAGUCACCUUCCCAAUAGUUCCUGAAGGAGAGGCAACAAAUCUUCCAAAUGAAUGGUAUCAUUUGGCCUUAGUCCUUUCUUGGGACAAUAGCUGCGUCAAUGUCUUUUGGAUGCCGGAAACAGACUCAAGAUAGUCGGUCUCGUACAAUGGACAGAUUUCUUAUGUCAUGGCAAUCCCUUUGUCCCUUUCCCUUUUCCACUUGGUGAACCCCACGAGCACGAGUAUAGAGAGGACGGAGGAUCACAGUCGCAGUAUAUUUGGUUUACGAAACCACGAUCAUAGGAUCCAUGCACGGUGAAGGGAAGCAAUCCAUUGCAGUGACUUCUUCAGAUCACUUCUCCAACCCGUGUUUAAUAAUACUGGCUCACUCAAUCUGAGACAAAAGAAAUGUGAAACGCUUGAUAUGGCAAUAUGCUUUAUUUCGUAAUUGAGAAGUGAUUGGAAUCUACAUUGUAUUGCACUUAUGCCGGGUUACAGCUGAUGAAGCAACUGUGACGUCAUAAACGGAUAUCACCCUGUACAUGAAAUACUGAGCGUUUAACACCGCUUGGAACAGUAUUUCAGUAAUAUCACGGCGCUGAAAAUCUUACACCCGAUGCAGCAUAAAUGUUGGUUGUUGGACAAUUUGUUUCAAAGGAGAAUAAUACCAUGAUACAAUGUGUUCUAGUAUUAGUGGAGAUGAAAAAUGUGAAGACAUACCAAUUUUUUACGGGUCUUGAAAUAUAUUUACAGCCCUUUUUUAUAACAAUUGUGUUGAAGUACAAGUUAAAUCAUACUGAAAGAGACAAUUAAAUCAAUAAAGCUAUACAACUGAUUAUGUGUUCGUCCAAAUCUAUUAUUCAAAAGUAAAAAGUCUGUUAUAUUUAUAAAAAAGGUUCUGGAAAUGUGGAAUUCAUAUUGACAUAUUAUCUCAGACCGUACGUAAGAACCAACCACGUGUUAAGGGUAUCCGGAUUUUGAAAGAAAAUUUAGUGUCCUUGGUUACCAGAGAACAGGGGUUUUAAUUCUGACGAACAGAUUAUCACUGUCUUAAGUAACUGUUCUGGAAAUGAUGCAUGUACGAAUAAUUACACUCAAUCACACGUAGGAAACAGGGAAUUGUUGACAGUAGUUCGCAACAAGCAUAUUGCUGAUCGCAAGUGGGAGGAAAUAAAGAUGACUCACAAAAAACGGAUUGAAGGGGUCAAGGGGUAGUUAUAUACUAAACUGCCGGGUAGAAGAAAUUACACACUUAAAAAAUGGUUUUGAACAAAAAAUUACAAACGUUAUCAAAACAUUACUAGGCCGAAAACAGUCGCCGAAACAUUGCAAACUUAAGGUUUAAAACACAACUGUAAUGCCCGUAUCAAAUACACGAGCAUCGUAUAACCAUUUCGUGUUUGCUUCCUUUUCAGCCAGCAUGAAACAUGUGUGUAUGCUUCCUGUUCCCGGGAGUUCAGUAAAUCGUUGUCCCUGCACACCCGCGUAUCUGGCCAUCGCUCAUAUCAGCUAUCUCAGAAUGAUGUACCUUGUGUGCCAUCUGUGUUCAAAGCAUUGUACUUGACAUUGAA